GAUGAACGCUGGCGGCGUGCCUAAUACAUGCAAGUCGAGCGAACGGACGAGAAGCUUGCGUCUCUGAUGUUAGCGGCGGACGGGAGAGUAACACGUGGAUAACCUACCUAUAAGACUGGUAUAACUUCGGGAAACCGGAGCUAAUACCGUAUAAUAUUGUGAACCGCAUGGUUCAAAAGUGAAAGACGGUCUUGCUGUCACUUAUAGAUGGAUCCGCGCUGCAUUAGCUAGUUGGUAAGGUAACGGCUUACCAAGGCAACGAUGCAUAGCCGACCUGAGAGGGUGAUCGGCCACACUGGAACUGAGACACGGUCCAGACUCCUACGGGAGGCAGCAGUAGGGAAUCUUCCGCAAUGGGCGAAAGCCUGACGGAGCAACGCCGAGUGAGUGAUGAAGGUCUUCGGAUCGUAAAACUCUGUUAUUAGGGAAGAACAUAUGUGUCAGUAACUGUGCACAUAUUGACGGUACCUAAUCAGAAAGCAACGGCUAACUACGUG
rnacentral:rRNA from 1 species